GAUGAAGAACGUAGCGAAAUGCGAUAAGUAGUGUGAAUUGCAGAAUUUAGUGAAUCAUCGAAUCUUUGAACGCACAUUGCGCCCUAUAGUAUUCUGUAGGGCAUGCCUGUUCGAGCGUUAUUGAGACCUCAAGCUCUGCUUGGAAAUGGGCGCUUGUCUUGCCUUGCAGACUCGCCUUAAAACCAUUGGCAGCUGAUUUACAAUGUUUGGUGCACAGUACAUGAGCCCAAGUGUUGCAAUGAGUGGCCCAAAAGUAUACAAUAGAAGCUUAACCUCGGAUCAGGUAGGGAUACCCGCUGAACUUAAGCAUAUCAAUAAGCGGAGGU
rnacentral:misc_RNA from 1 species